rnacentral:rRNA from 1 species
GAUGAACGCUGGCGGCGUGCUUAACACAUGCAAGUCGAACGAUGAAGCCCAGCUUGCUGGGUGGAUUAGUGGCGAACGGGUGAGUAACACGUGAGUAACCUGCCCUUAACUCUGGGAUAGGCCUGGGAAACUGGGUCUAAUACCGGAUAGGAGCGUCCACCGCAUGGUGGGUGUUGGAAAGAUUUAUCGGUUUUGGAUGGACUCGCGGCCUAUCAGCUUGUUGGUGAGGUAAUGGCUCACCAAGGCGACGACGGGUAGCCGGCCUGAGAGGGUGACCGGCCACACUGGGACUGAGACACGGCCCAGACUCCUACGGGAGGCAGCAGUGGGGAAUAUUGCACAAUGGGCGCAAGCCUGAUGCAGCGACGCCGCGUGAGGGAUGACGGCCUUCGGGUUGUAAACCUCUUUCAGUAGGGAAGAAGCGAAAGUGACGGUACCUGCAGAAGAAGCACCGGCUAACUACGUG